UACGGAGGGUGCGAGCGUUGUCCGGAAUCACUGGGCGUAAAGGGCGCGUAGGCGGCCUGAUAAGUAGGGGGUGAAAUCCUGCGGCUUAACCGCAGGGCUGCCUUCUAAACUGUCAGGCUUGAGCACAGUAGAGGCAGGUGGAAUUCCCGGUGUAGCGGUGGAAUGCGUAGAGAUCGGGAGGAACACCAAUAGCGAAGGCAGCUCGCUGGGACGUUACUGACACUGAGGCGCGAAAGCGUGGGGAGCGAACAGG
rnacentral:rRNA from 1 species